CGGGUGUGUAAGCGUAGCGAUACGUUGAGCUAACCGAUACUAAUGAACCGUGAGGCUUAACCUUACAACGCCGAAGGUGUUU
rnacentral:rRNA from 1 species